rnacentral:rRNA from 1 species
CCUACGGGGGGCUGCAGUGGGGAAUUUUGCGCAAUGGGCGAAAGCCUGAUCCAGCAAUGCCGCGUGUGUGAAGAAGGCCUUCGGGUUGUAAAGCACUUUUGUCCGGAAAGAAAUCCGUCUGGCUAAUACCCGGACGGGAUGACGGUACCGGAAGAAUAAGCACCGGCUAACUACGUGCCAGCAGCCGCGGUAAUACGUAGGGUGCGAGCGGUAAUCGGAAUUAGUGGGCGUAAAUUGGGCGCAGGCGUGUGAAAUCCCCGGGCUCAACCUGGGAACUGCAUUUGUGACUGCAAGGCUAGAGUGCGUCAGAGGGAGGUGGAAUUCCGCGUGUAGCAGUGAAAUGCGUAGAGAUGCGGAGGAACACCGAUGGCGAAGGCAGCCUCCUGGGAUGACACUGACGCUCAUGCACGAAAGCGUGGGGAGCAAACAGGAUUAGAUACCCCAGUAGUC